rnacentral:lncRNA from 1 species
GGUGGCCUACGAAAAAACGUAACACACAUGGAGCGGUCGUUCGAUAGGCGGGCGGGGAGUGGAAAUGGCCGACUGCUAUCUUCGUCAUAACCUCAAAUACAUUGAUUCUUACGGGAGUUUUUAGAAUAAAUGAUUUAGCGUUGAAAUUUUCAUCGUAAACGCACUUGAUGAAUGGCUAAGUUUCAUAUCUGGACACAGAUUUUCAAAUAGUUGGUUCUAAAUUUGAUAUAAGUUCGCAUUCAGCAACAGUCCCAUAAGAAGCCAUAGAAACUGACUAUCUUCGUCCUAACCUAACUCAUGCUCCAGGUGUGUUACGUUUUUCGCUGUUGGCGUAGCAUAGGAUCCCCCAAUCUAUAGUUUCUAGAUCGUUGGCCAUCACUUAUUUGAGGUUAUGGUUCUGUUUCUGUUAUUGACCUAUUGCAAAGGUGUAAAACUAUGUGAUGGUGUAAUGUAAUGAAGCAAGUGAAAGAAGUUUGUCGCACUUGAUUACUUUGAAUCGAAUGAAGUUCUGCAGUGAAGUUUUAGAUUAACAGGAACAUCAUGGUGCGUGCAUCAGUGCCAGUAAAUCCGGAAAAAGCCUCUAAAACCAAAGUCCGCGCUGCGAAAAGAAGUAAGAAAGCAUGGAGGAAGACUGAUUCAAGCGAUGUUGAUGCAUUCCUUGAAGAUAAAAGAUUGGAAGAGAGAUUAGGAAAACCCUUUUCAGAACGAACUGAUGAUGAAUUGUUUCAAGUUGAUACUGCCCCAGCCAAAAGUCAGUGCCUCUAUCAGUCGCUGAAAAGAAGAGGAAAGCAUUUCUACCUCCUAAGUGUUUUGAGAUUUUAG